rnacentral:rRNA from 1 species
UACAGAGGGUGCAAGCGUUGUUCGGAAUUACUGGGCGUAAAGCGCGCGCAGGCGGCCAUUCAAGUCAGGGGUGAAAGCCCAGAGCUCAACUCUGGAACUGCCCUUGAAACUGUAUGGCUUGAGUAUGAGAGAGGUGAGUGGAAUUCCCAGUGUAGAGGUGAAAUUCGUAGAUAUUGGGAAGAACACCGGUGGCGAAGGCGGCUCACUGGCUCAUUACUGACGCUCAGGCGCGACAGCGUGGGGAGCAAACAGG